GCAGCGCUUGCCUGGGUAUUGCAGCCAUAAAAUCCUCCACCCUGUUUUGUAUUGGUUAUGACAAACAGAAACACUCACCCACUGUGUCUCUGACCUACAAACAUCAGAAAUACUAUUCAGUGUCAUCCAUUCUACUGAAAAAAGACAAUACAUGCAUACCAUCUUGAGGUUCCAUUGUUGGCACUUUAUUGACUGCAAUGUAUUUCAACUCUGAGUGGGCUGAGGUGAGUGAUAACUAGAGGCACCACGGAAGAAGCUGGACAAUGCAGAGUUGUUCCUUGAUACUUGUGCUGUUGUCAGCACUAUUCAAUACAGCCCAAACUCUCCCAACCACAAAUCCAGACUACAGCACAACAAUUCUCCUUUUUCCCUUUAAUUAUUCUAGCACUGUUGGCCAAGCUGAUACUACUCUCUCCGGUGUGACACCUGCUGUAUCUCACAGUCCACAGUCUACUGGGACUCAACCAUCAGCAACAACCAUCAACAUCUCCCAUCCUAACCCAACUUCUCCAUCCAGCACUCCUGUUUCUCCCACAGCUAUCUUCACUCUUGCCACAACUACUCCCAAUAACACUCUACUUCCCCCUACCAAUACCACAACCCCUCAAUCAAGUACGCUUACUAUGACUACAGCUCCCUCCUCUCCUGCCACAAGAUCAAGUACUGCAGUUACUACUGAAGCUACUGUCUCCUAUAAUACAACUCCUCCAUCAACUUCUCCCAAUACCACUCUAUUUCCCCCUACCAAUACCACAACCCCUCAAUCAAGUACGCUUACUAGGACUACAGCUCUCUCUACUCCUAACACAACAUCAAGUACAGCAGUUACUAUUGAGGCUACUGUCAAUUAUACUACAACUCCUCCAUCAACUACUCCCAAUAACACUCUACUUCCCCCUACCAAUACCACAACCCCUCAAUCAAGUACGCUUACUAUGACUACAGCUCUCUCUACUCCUGCAACAACAUCAAGUACUGCAGUUACUCCUGAAGCUACUGUCAAUUAUACUACAACUCCUCCAUCAACUACUCCCAAUACCACUCUACUUCCCCCUACCAAUACCACAACCCCUCAAUCAAGUACGCUUACUAUGACUACAGCUCUCUCUACUCCCGCCACAACAUCAAGUACUGCAGUUACUCCUGAAGCUACUGUCAAUUAUACUACAACUCCUCCAUCAACUACUCCCAAUACCACUCUACUUCCCCCUACCAAUACCUCAACCCCUC
ensembl:lncRNA